rnacentral:rRNA from 1 species
GAUGAACGCUGGCGGCGUGCCUAAUACAUGCAAGUCGAGCGGACCAAAGAGAGCUUGCUCUCUGAGGUUAGCGGCGGACGGGUGAGUAACACGUGGGUAACCUGCCUGUAAGACGGGGAUAACUUCGGGAAACCGAAGCUAAUACCGGAUGAUAAAGAGAAACGCCUGUUUCUUUUUUGAAAGUCGGCCUUGUGCUGACGCUUACAGAUGGGCCCGCGGCGCAUUAGCUAGUUGGAGAGGUAACGGCACACCAAGGCGACGAUGCGUAGCCGACCUGAGAGGGUGAUCGGCCACACUGGGACUGAGACACGGCCCAGACUCCUACGGGAGACAGCAGUAGGGAAUCUUCGGCAAUGGACGAAAGUCUGACCGGGCAACGCCGCGUGAGCGAUGAAGGCCUUCGGGUCGUAAAGCUCUGUUGUCAGAGAAGAACAAGUACCGGAGUAACUGCCGGUACCUUGACGGUACCUGACCAGAAAGCCACGGCUAACUACGUGCCAGCAGCCGCCGUAAUAC